rnacentral:misc_RNA from 1 species
CAUAGCAAUGCAUACAUGUACGGAUUCUUCAAGAACAAGCGCAUUGUCCUCUAUGAUACACUCAUCCAGCAGUGCAAGAAUGAUGAGGAAAUCGUUGCUGUUAUUGCACACGAGCUUGGUCACUGGAAACUUAAUCACACAAUGUACUCCUUUAUUGCUGUUCAGAUUCUCACGUUCUUGCAGUUUGGAGGGUACACUCUUGUUAGGAAUUCAAAGGAUUUGUUUCAGAGUUUUGGCUUUGAUACACAACCAGUUCUCAUUGGACUCAUCAUAUUUCAGCAUACUGUGAUACCUCUUCAGCACCUUGUGAGCUUUGGCCUUAACCUUGUAAGCCGUGCCUUUGAGUUCCAGGCUGAUGCAUUUGCGAAGAAACUGGGUUAUGCUGCACCUCUUCGAGCUGGUCUUGUGAAACUGCAGGAAGAGAACUUGUCAUCUAUGAAUACAGAUCCUUGGUAUUCAGCCUAUCAUUAUUCUCACCCUCCCCUCGUUGAAAGAUUGGCUGCCAUUGAUGAAUCUGAUAAGAAGACGGAGUGACACAUUCAUGGGAGUUUCACCGUUCUCGUUCUGCAAGCAUAGAUAUUUAUACUUGCAACGUCAUGUAUGCUGAUAUUGUCAUGUUAUAUUCACAACAUAGGGCUUUAGAAGGGUGUUUGAGGGGUUGUAAGGAUCGUGGUUUUGUCAUCCAUGUGGUUUACAUUAGUGGAAAACUUUGUCUAGGUCGAAAAUUUACCCCUAACCAUACUUUUGGUAACUCUUCUAAAGGGUUCGAUAUUUUCGAGUAUUGAUGGUGAUGUCCUAGCUUCUCACACAUUCGAAACUUUUCACAGUUUGGAAAACAAGCUAAUGAACCUAGGAUUAACAUACAUUAUUGGAUUAAUUGUGGUCGCAAUUGUUU